rnacentral:rRNA from 1 species
UACGUAGGGUGCGAGCGUUGUCCGGAAUUAUUGGGCGUAAAGAGCUCGUAGGCGGUCUGUCGCGUCGAUCGUGAAAACUUGGGGCUUAACCCUGAGCUUGCGGUCGAUACGGGCAUGACUGGAGUUCGGCAGGGGAGACUGGAAUUCCUGGUGUAGCGGUGAAAUGCGCAGAUAUCAGGAGGAACACCGGUGGCGAAGGCGGUUCUCUGGGAAUGACCUGACGCUGAGGAGCGAAAGUGUGGGGAGCGAACAGG